UACGUAGGUGGCAAGCGUUGUCCGGAAUUAUCGGGCGUAAAGCGCGCGCAGGCGGUCCUUUAAGUCUGAUGUGAAAGCCCGCGGCUCAACCGUGGAGGGUCAUUGGAAACUGGGGGACUUGAGUGCAGAAGAGGAAAGCGGAAUUCCACGUGUAGCGGUGAAAUGCGUAGAGAUGUGGAGGAACACCAGUGGCGAAGGCGGCUUUCUGGUCUGUAACUGACGCUGAGACGCGAAAGCGUGGGGAGCGAACAGG
rnacentral:rRNA from 1 species